AGUUAAUAUUGUGUGCAGAGGUGUAGUUAUUCUCCCUUGAUGGCGUUUUUUAGUCAGAGGACAAAUUUAGAUUGCGAGCCCAUCUUUGGGACCGGGAAAGGUGUGGUUCUCGUGGAAAGCUUUUCCCUGAAGAGGCAGUGAGCCUACGAGCUGGUGAGAGCAGACAGGUGGAAUUACUAACUACACUCCAGGGAAAGCCAUACAUCAGCCCCGCCCACCUCUGGUCCUGUUAUCCGGUACAAUGAGCCUUACUUCAGAAGCCAAACCAGCAACACACAGAAUGAAGACUGCCCUAAAAUUGGCCCAGCGCCUGCAGCUGGUUAAUCCUACCAUAGUUUAUCCUUGUAGUGUGAAUUCAUUCUUAUUUUCAAGCUGAAAGUAUACACGAGAUCUCUCUCUGAAGACCAGUGAGGACAUAAGAAGGUGGCCAUCUGCAAGCUUGGAGGAGAGAUCCCACUGGAAAUCAACUCUGCCAGCACCUUGAUCUUGC